GAGGGAUGCAACAUGGUGCAUCUGGGAGGCCUGCUAACUGGCUAACUUCUCCGGCGUUCCUCCCGGCCGAGGCGUGGGCACAGAAUAGCGCAGGUGAGGCCCAGAUAUGGUGUCUCGAUACGGCGCGGAAGGUCAGUAUGUACCUCGUUUUGUAUAUUGUCUUGAAACUUUACUCCUUUGUAUGUUUGAAGACAUCAUUUUCCAGUUUUGGAGCCGACUAAUGAACUAGUUCUUAAGUGAAAGGCAUUUAACACGACUGUGCAUCUACAGGUACUAGGUUUCCAAGAUGCCUUUCCAGACUAAAACCCACACAUGUGAGCCGCUGGCCGGACAAACAUCUGGCACCUAACGUGGGGCUGAAAAACAGCAGAGGACAUUUGGAAGAAACACUGCUGGUUUGGAGCUCCAUAGAAGAAGAAAAUAAUUAAAGGAAAUUCAUACCAGAGAAG
rnacentral:lncRNA from 1 species